CUUUUGGACUGUGAUUCACAGCAUCAACAACAGCAACUUGUGAUUGGCGGUGACCGGAUAUUCAGUUGCACAUCCCCACAUCAAUGCACUGC
rnacentral:sRNA from 1 species